rnacentral:tRNA from 1 species
GCACCGGUAGCUCAGUUGGAUAGAGCAGCUGCCUUCUAAGCCGCAGGUCAGAGGUUCGAAUCCUCUCCGGUGUACCA